GUUUGGCCAAAGGGGAAAGCAAAUUUUCAAAACGCAAUUGGCCAGGCAGCGCCGGGCAGAUGGGGCUUUUUGGCAGGACCUUUACUCGGCUCUAAAAAGUAGCGUAGGACCAGAAACAACGGUUGAGAACCCACCGGUCUCCUUAUAACUUUACGAACAGCAAGGUAAAAGCCAGCUGAAGUACUCUGACUUGGUAACUUUUGUGGACAAAACUGCACUGCAGAAAAGUUGUCUACAAAUUGCAUGAGAAGCAACACACUGGAUACCAAUUCGUUGAACAUUACACAAUAUAUAUGGACUAUGACCGGAAAUCCAAGUGAAGAUGCGUCUGACUGUAGGGAGAAAAAGUUGUGAUUUGUUUAUACAGACCAGGGAGGAAACACUCGCCUGUCACUUUUUGUCAUAUUUCCCGGAACUACCUCAUAGUCCCCCGAGUUCCGCAUGACAUAUGCAUAUGUAAGUAUGUGCUCUUUUCACGGUCUUGCAUUGUCCUGUAUAUUUGUUUAAGGUAUAAUAUAUUAAUACAUGUAUGUAUAUGAGUAUGUGUGUGAAACAAAGUCAAGUAGUAAUAGGCCUAUAUUUCCUUGUAAAUGUUAUAUUUUCUACUGUGGAUAAAAGGGGGUUUUACGCGCAGCAUUUUGAUGGAAAUAAUUGUCUUACAAGUAUAUUUUGCACGAUUAAACAUCUCGAUUGUUUGUUCUGCUAAGUUAAUAACUGCGUAUAAUGUCAAAAGGCCUAUCUGUAAUCUUGGUGAUAAUGUAGGCCUUUCAUUAAAAUACAAGAAAACUGUAAA